rnacentral:lncRNA from 1 species
CUUGGUCACCAGGCUGAAGCUCUGCGGGGAGCUGACAGAAUCUUCACGAGGAGGGACUUAGUGGAAGAAAGUUAGGCCAUUAGGGCCUUGCCCUUGAAGGGGGAUAUGGAGUCACUGGCCUCUUCCUCUCUCCCUUCCUAGCAGUCAAGAGCUGAACAGAUGACCUCUGCCGCACGCUUCAUCGCCAGCCCAGAGCAAGAGGCCGGUCAAGAGGAGACUGAAACCCCAAUGAUAUCAGCCUCAGCGUUGACGAAGAUGCUUGCUGAGACCCAGCUGGCAUCAGCACAGUCAUACUCAGCCAGCUGGACUUUGUCUCAAGAGGACACCAGAAGGACGGACGACCAGAUGCAGACAUUUUCUCUCCUUUAAAAAAAGUUUCCAGAGUUGAGGGUGAUGGUGCACACCUGUAAACCUGGCACUCAGGAGGUUGGGACAGAGGGAUCAAGAGUUCAAGGCCAGCCUAUGCAACAUAACAUGACCCUGUUUCAAGUCAUAAAUUCAGGUGACUGUUUUUCUAAUCACAAUUGCUAUUCUCCUCUUUCUCAAUUUCUGGUAGCCACCACAGUUGUCGACGAGUAGAGGUAUCAAUAAAGGCUGGA